UACGAAGGGGGCUAGCGUUGCUCGGAAUCACUGGGCGUAAAGCGCACGUAGGCGGGUCCUUAAGUCAGGGGUGAAAUCCCGGAGCUCAACUCCGGAACUGCCUUUGAUACUGGGGAUCUUGAGUCCGGAAGAGGUGAGUGGAACUCCGAGUGUAGAGGUGAAAUUCGUAGAUAUUCGGAAGAACACCAGUGGCGAAGGCGGCUCACUGGUCCGGUACUGACGCUGAGGAGCGAAAGCAUGGGGAGCGAACAGG
rnacentral:rRNA from 1 species